UACAGAGGUCUCAAGCGUUGUUCGGAUUCAUUGGGCGUAAAGGGUGCGUAGGUGGCGCCGUAAGUCGGGUGUGAAAUUUCGGAGCUUAACUCCGAAACUGCAUUCGAUACUGCGGUGCUUGAGGACUGGAGAGGAGACUGGAAUUUAUGGUGUAGCAGUGAAAUGCGUAGAGAUCAUAAGGAAGACCAGUGGCGAAGGCGGGUCUCGGGACAGUUCCUGACACUGAGGCACGAAGGCCAGGGGAGCAAACGGG
rnacentral:rRNA from 1 species